UGGGGAAUAUUGCGCAAUGGAGGAAACUCUGACGCAGCAAUGCCGCGUGUGUGAAGAAGGUCUUCGGAUUGUAAAGCACUGUUAAGAUAGAAAGAACAAGCCUUCGGGCCCUGACGGUACUAUCUCAGGAAGCACCGGCUAACUCCGUGCCAGCAGCCGCGGUAAUACGGAGGGUGCAAGCGUUGUUCGGAAUUAUUGGGCGUAAAGCGUGCGUAGGCGGAUUAUUAAGUCUGAUGUGAAAUCCCGCGGCUCAACCGCGGACGUGCAUUGGAUACUGGUAGUCUUGAGUCCUGGAGAGGAGAGCGGAAUUCCUAGUGUAGAGGUGAAAUUCGUAGAUAUUAGGAGGAACACCAGUGGCGAAAGCGGCUCUCUGGACAGUGACUGACGCUGAGGCACGAAAGCAUAGGUAGCAAACAGG
rnacentral:rRNA from 1 species